rnacentral:lncRNA from 1 species
CCUGAUGCUCCCUCCCUCAGUUGCACCUUCCUCCACUUCCCUUGGACAAAGCCAUGCCAGGACACCAAGACAUUGCCUUCCUCUGUAGCAGAAGGCAGAGGAAGAGUUCCCCUGCCCAGCUUCAACACAGUAACUUCUCCCAAGGUGCUUCAUGGAGAAGACUCAAGAGCCGAGCUUUGCCAGGAACCCUUGCUCAGAGUUUGUGGAGAAGAGUGAAAUGUGAAGGAUAAAGAAACACUAGUAUUUAUCAAAAAACUUGAGCCAAAAGGAUUUAUGUCAAGAGCUGGUCAGUUAGUUGUUGUUGGUUUUGGGUUUUUUUUUUUCUCUCAUAUAUUUAUAAUGGGGGGAAGAAGGAGGAAGAAAAAUUUUUGCUUGAAAAAGAAUUUGUCACGUUGGGAAGUAUGAGGCAGAGAAACAAAAGGACAUCUUACAGCCAGGGGAACCAUGGACCAAGACCAGUCCUGUCUGAAGACAGCUGGUGUAGGGGAGUGUUUUUGAUGCCUGCUGUCACAGAGGCCAUGGCUGUUCACUAAAUCCCUCCCUCUGCCCUCGCUGCCAUGGUCCAGCACCUGCUCAGGGAGUAGACAGAAGCAGUGAGGGAAGCUGCUGCCAUUUAUCCCCACAGUUUAUUACCAGCCCUUCAUUCCUGCAGCAGAGGGGGGAACCUCUGCCUGUCUCUGGAAGUCUAGCAUCUCAUCAAUUCUCCUUGGUCUGCGUUCCAGACUCCCCUCCAUCCCCCCUGAUGAGUGAGGGUGCUCAUGACAGGGGCUGAGGAUGCAGGAGCACGUGGCAGGACCUGAGGAGUCUGUGGCAGUGUUUGCAGAGCUCAUCUGCCAGAGCCUGAAUCCCUGUUCUCCUCCAGGCAGAUGGCUCAGCUUUCUCACACCUCUCCCCCACUUUCUUUGCUCUCCAAGCACUACUUGUGGGAGUUGAAAGUGAAGUGACAGAGCCCGAGGGAAAGGGGAAAAUACAGUGUGUGUCUCUGAAAAUGUGAAAGGGACCCUUCUGUGUAUUUUGUUCCACUCCUGAUACUCAUCCC